GUGGGGAAUCUUCCGCAAUGGACGAAAGUCUGACGGAGCGACGCCGCGUGAGUGAUGAAGGCCUUCGGGUCGUAAAGCUCUGUCAUCGGGGACGAACGGCCUCAGCAGGUAAUGGCUGGGGAUUGACGGUACCCGAGAAGGAAGCCACGGCUAACUACGUGCCAGCAGCCGCGGUAAUACGUAGGUGGCAAGCGUUGUCCGGAAUUAUUGGGCGUACAGCGCGCGCAGGUGGGAUCUUAAGUCCAUUUUGAAAGUUCGGAGCUCAACUCCGUGAUGGGAUGGAAACUGGGAUUCUUGAGUACCGGAGAGGAAAGCGGAAUUCCCCGUGUAGCGGUGAAAUGCGUAGAUAUGGGGAGGAACACCAGUGGCGAAGGCGGCUUUCUGGACGGUGUCUGACACUGAGGCGCGAAAGCCAGGGGAGCGAACGGGAUUAGAAACCCUUGUAGUCC
rnacentral:rRNA from 1 species